CCUGAGAGGGUGACCGGCCACAUUGGGACUGAGACACGGCCCAAACUCCUACGGGAGGCAGCAGUGGGGAAUAUUGCACAAUGGGGGAAACCCUGAUGCAGCGACGCCGCGUGAGCGAAGAAGUAUUUCGGUAUGUAAAGCUCUAUCAGCAGGGAAGAAAAAAAUGACGGUACCUGACUAAGAAGCCCCGGCUAACUACGUGCCAGCAGCCGCGGUAAUACGUAGGGGGCAAGCGUUAUCCGGAUUUACUGGGUGUAAAGGGAGCGCAGGCGGUGCGGCAAGUCUGAUGUGAAAGCCCGGGGCUCAACCCCGGGACUGCAUUGGAAACUGUCGUACUUGAGUAUCGGAGAGGUAAGUGGAAUUCCUAGUGUAGCGGUGAAAUGCGUAGAUAUUAGGAGGAACACCAGUGGCGAAGGCGGCUUACUGG
rnacentral:rRNA from 1 species